GUCCCGGCGGCGGAGCGCGGGCGGAAAGGCUGUGAGCUGGCCCUGGGCGGUGAACGGGAUUUUCCGCGGAGCCGUUUACGCAAGCUAAGCAAGCAGUUCAGACAUGGCAUCUGUCAGCUGAAGGGCAGGUGGUCUGCCGGCCCGUGUGGCCCGGGCCUGCCGGAGUGCCCCGUCUCCAGGCAGGGGCCUGUCCUGAGCAGGCCUGCCUCUGGCGGACUCGUGCUCUUAAGCUCCUGCUACAUCUACUCAGCGAUAAGUCAUCACAUUGUAAGAACCUACUCAGUUACUGCCGGAUGACUGAGGUGAGGCCGUGGGCUCCAGAUGUUGACCGAUGCCCGGGACAGGCAGAAAUACAUAUGCGAGCCAGCGUGGACCACUUCCUUGGUGCUUCUGGAAGCCUGGGCGAGAUGAGGACACUCCAGGAACUGCCCAUCUGCCUGUGAGACAGGCUCCACGGGGGGCACCACCUGAACUGAAUCCUGAAAGGAGCCCCAGGAGGGAAGCUCAGAGUCUGGGGAGAGCGGGCCUCACCACAAGGUGGGAAAGCACUGCUCUGAGGCCAGGGUCCCUGGCACAGUGGCUGGCAGCGUGGCCAGGCCCAGUCACAGCGGGCUCCGUGUGCCAGGCCAGGUGCUUCUUCUGGAUGUGUGGGGAGACGUGGCACAGGAUGGGCUGCCAUAGGAAGCCCUCUGGCAGCACGUGAGGCGGCUGCCCCACGUGUGCUUUGGUCUCGGCCGGCUGUGGCCAGGCCUUCCUCCGCUGCUGCUCUCCUGCAGAGACUCUGGUGCGUGUCACACCCGGUCACUGGCCUGGCGAGACACCAGCGACCACACUGGCUCCACAGUCACAGCGCUCGCCCGGGACACAGGCUUUCUCUGCUCCGACUCUAACCUGAGGCUGAAACCGCUUCAGAACAGGCUGCAGCAAGGCUCUGUGUCCCCAGCGCUGCCCCCAGCUGUGGCUCCCAACUCCAUCCUGGCUGCGGGAAGGGAGGACGCAGGUGAACAGGGGUACUGAGGGUGGAACAAAUUUUUAAAAAGAGCUGUUUGGUAAUGACUGGCUUAAGAGACAAAACAAUCUUUGGCCACCAAGCACCACGCAUCUCCUGGGAACGAUGCGUCGUGCGGAAGGUGAGGGCUGACACCGAGGCAAUGAGGAUCCAGCACCAAAAAAUACAACACAGACGAGUGAGUCCUGCCAGGCGGACAGGAGACCCAACAGGCCUCACUCGGGUACCAGAGCAGGGGGAGCAUCCCUGGAUGUAACCUGUGGGGGGCCACGCGAGGUGCCGGCCCACGCGCAGCCAGUGCUAACCCUCUUUCCGGGCCCCCGGCCCCGGCCCAGCAUUUGUCCUGGAUUGCAGUGCACGGGGCCUGUGCGUAGUCUCCCCUCCAGCGCCAGGAACUCUUGGGACGUGGAUUAUUUCUUCCAACUGGCCGUAAGUUAAAAACCAAACCAAACCAAACCAAAAGGAACAGUGAAUUUACCGGGAGGGCUCUGGCCCAGUGCAUUUGGUAAUGAAAGUGAAUGAGACCUAAGAUGGAUAUUUAAAAAGAGAUUAUAAUUCAGUUUAUACAGCUUGACAUGAAUAAACAGACAUUCUUAACAAUGCAAGGUCCCCAAAGGCCUCUAUCACGGAGUUUUUUGAAGAAUUUUUUCAAACUACAAUUCUUUCAAUAAAUCAAUUUUGGUAACCCAUGGAACCCCAGGGCAUGAGCGGUAACUUCAGCAGGUGAUAUGAACCCCUCUGCAAUGGCCCCUCCAACCUGCUGGAUUUGCUUGAGGCCAGGCCAUGGGAGCAUGGGGAAGAAGGGUGUGACAGGUUUUCUCAUUUUCCGAGUUCUUCUUUGGCAAAGGAAAACAUUAUUUUACUAAAACUAUAUAUUAGCAUCUUACUAGACACUUUAUGAAGAAUAAUGAACUUGUAACAAACCUGACUUUCCAUUUUUAAGUGGAUGGAAGUGAAACAACCCCGGAACAGAUGGCACCACCUGGGAAAGGGUCUCCUUAAAGCUGCCAUUGGUGGUUAACGUCUUUUUAAAAAAAAAAUAAUUUAUUUAUUUAUUUAUU